rnacentral:rRNA from 1 species
GAGUUUUGAUCAUGGCUCAGGAUGAACGCUGGCUACAGGCUUAACACAUGCAAGUCGAGGGGCAGCAUGGUCUUAGCUUGCUAAGGCCGAUGGCGACCGGCGCACGGGUGAGUAACACGUAUCCAACCUGCCGUCUACUCUUGGACAGCCUUCUGAAAGGAAGAUUAAUACAAGAUGGCAUCAUGAGUCCGCAUGUUCACAUGAUUAAAGGUAUUCCGGUAGACGAUGGGGAUGCGUUCCAUUAGAUAGUAGGCGGGGUAACGGCCCACCUAGUCAACGAUCAGUAGGGGUUCUGAGAGGAAGGUCCCCCACAUUGGAACUGAGACACGGUCCAAACUCCUACGGGAGGCAGCA